GUGUCAGCAGCCGCGGUAAUACGGGGGGGGCGAGCGUUGUUCGGAAUUACUGGGCGUAAAGGGCGCGUAGGCGGUUCGCUAAGUCGGAUGUGAAAACUCUGGGCUCAACCCAGAGCCUGCAUCCGAAACUGGCGGGCUAGAGUUCUGGAGGGGAUAGCGGAAUUCCUGGUGUAGCGGUGAAAUGCGUAGAUAUCAGGAGGAACACCGGUGGCGAAGGCGGCUAUCUGGACAGAAACUGACGCUGAGGCGCGAAAGCUAGGGGAGCAAACAGGAUUAGAUACCCGGGUAGUCC
rnacentral:rRNA from 1 species